UAAUAAUAAUACUUUACUUAG
rnacentral:piRNA from 1 species